GUGACUUCACUGUCCCAAUGGAGGGCACUGUAUAUCUGUUUGAACUGUUUGCCCUUUUCAAAUAUAAUGAAAUAAGUAAUCAUAUAUUAUUUUUUUUUUUUUUCAGGUAUCAGUUGCUUAAAACCCACCAGUUGCCACUAGAUGCUUUUCUCGUUGCCCUCAAAUUCAUGCAGGUGGACGAUGUGGACACUGAUGAAGUUCAGUGCAUUUUAGCUAAUCUGAUCUACAUGGGACACAUCAAGGGGUACAUUUCUCACCAACAUCAGAAGCUUGUUGUCAGCAAACAGAAUCCAUUCCCCCCACUGUCCACUGUGUCCUAGUGCAAGAAAUCAGACUUUUACUGCAUUUUUAUUGUCAUGUGAAAGACCGUUGUGAAAAAACAGUUUUUCAGAAUGACCUUGUAUUGUUGAGUGAUAUUUUUAAUUGUAUGUGAAUAAACAUAUAUGUUAUUGUUA